rnacentral:rRNA from 1 species
AUUAUGGCCGCGGGAUUAGAGUUUGAUCAUGGCUCAGGAUGAACGCUAGCGGCGUGCCUAAUGCAUGCAAGUCGAACGGGAUCCUUUGGACUCGUCCGAAGGUGAGAGUGGCGAACGGGUGAGUAUCGCGUUGGUGACCUGCCCCAGAGAGGGGGACAACCAGUGGAAACGCUGGCUAAUACCCCGGAUGUCAUUGUGCUUAGAAAGCAAUGACUAAAGCUCCGGCGCUCUGGGAGGGGCCUGCGUCCCAUCAGCUUGUUGGUAGGGUAAUGGCCUACCAAGGCGAAGACGGGUAGGGGGCGUGAGAGCGUGGCCCCCCACACUGGUACUGAAACACGGACCAGAUACCUACGGGUAGCAGCAGCAAGGAAUAUUGCCCAAUGGACGAAAGUCUGAGGCAGCAACGCCGCGUGGAGGAUGAAGGCCUUCGGGUUGUAAACUCCUUUCAGGGGGAAGAGAAAGGACGGUACCCCAGGAAUAAGGCCCGGCUAACUACGUGCCAGCAGCCGCGGUAAAACGUAGGGGUCGAGCGUUAUCCGGAUUUACUGGGCGUAAAGCGCAUGUAGGCGGUCGCUUAAGUCGGACGUGAAAGCUCCUGGCUCAACUAGGAGAGGCCGUUCGAAACUAGGCGACUCGAGGAUGGUAGGGGAGAGUGGAAUUCCCGGUCAGUAUACGGUGAAAUGCGUAGAUAUCGGGAGGAACACCAGUGGCGAAGGCGGCUCUCUGGACUUAAUUCCUAUCCGCUGAGAUGCGAAAGCUAGGGGAGAGAACGGGAUUAGAAACCCCGGUAUUCCUAGCUGUGAACAGUGAUGUCAACUAGGCGUAGCAGUAAUUGACCCCCUCUGUGCUGUAGCUAACGCGUUAAGUUGACCGCCUGGGGACUACGGCCGCAAGGCUAAAACUCAAAGGAAUUGAUAGGGACCCGCACAAGAGCGGAGCGUGUGGUUUAAUUCGAGGCUACGCGAAGAACCUUACCAGGGUUUGACAUCGAAGUGGUAGGGAUCCGAAAGGUGACCGACCCUUCGGGGAGCCCGUGACAGGUGCUGCAUGGCUUUCGUCAGAAGCGUGCCGUGAGGUGUUAGGUUAAGUCCUGUAACGAGCGCAACCCACGUCGUUAGUUAUAUGCAGUUCUAACGAGACUGCCGGUGAUAAGCCGGAGGAAGGUGUGGAUGACGUCAAGUCAGCAUGGCCUUUAUAUCCUGGGCUACACACACGCUACAAUGGCCGGCAGUCAAUGGGCAGCGAAACCGCGAGGUGAAGCCAAUCCUCCAAAGCCGGUCUCAGUUCGGAUUAGGCUGCAACUCUUGCAUGAAGUCGGAGUUGCUAGUAAACGUGCGUCAGCAACAGCGCGUUGAAUACGUUCCCGGGUCUUGUACACACCGCCCGUCACGUCAUGGAAGUUGGCAACGCCUGAAGUCGGUGGGCUACCUCACGGGAGGCAGCCGCCCAACGGGGUUAUAACUACAGU